UUUGGAUGAAAAAUGACGUUUAUUACAAACACAGAGAGCUGUUAGCAGUCAGUUAGCAGCUGUUAGUUCUGUACAAAUAACACUGGUUGAUUGGUUAGUUGAGUUUGCCAGUCGGCAACAAGGCUGGGUCUCAAACAGCACCCUAUGCCUUUGUAGUGUACUAUUUUUCAUCCUAAACCUUAGUACACUACCUUUCACCUCAAACCAUUCAUAGUGCACUGAUUUCUAAGCUGUGUGCUAUUUCCAAACUUAUAACACCUCUAUAGUGCACAGUUAUCCAUCUUAAACCUUUAAUCAUGGUCCACAUUUUAUUUUAAGCUUUACUUUGUAGCACCUUCAUUGUGAAAUACUUUUAACUUUCAAACUCUUCAUAAUGCACAGCUUUCCACCUGUUGGAGUUCCUUUUGAAAUGCUCGGCAAUCAAAUCGAAACCCUUCUGGUGCACUCCGAGUUCCAAAGUUGUGACCUUGCUCAUGUUUUAAGCAUUUUGAACACUAUAAUAAUUUUUUUUUUUUUUUUUUUUUGCAUUGACAGUUAUCACACUGACACAAAAUCCUUUGCCAGCUCUGUAAAAGGACCAAAGUGGCAUCUGUUUUUAAGGGUCAUUCACCUGACGAAUGUCAUGUUGAUGUUAAGUAGCUUGAAGGUCUUUAAGGACUCGAUAUUAACUUAUAUUUUAGACAGUCAUAAUUUGUGUUUGCAUGUUUAUGUGAAGAAGUGGAUGUUGGUAUUUAUAAUGACUAUUACAAGACAUUAACACUGUCUUUUUCUGCUUUUUCACUACAAACUUGGACAUUUGUGUAAUUUGUUUCCAGUUUCCUGAAAAGGCCUGCUGCUGUUUAGCUGCAAAUUAACAAGUAUUUUGAAGAAACCAGUUUAUCCCCAAUUAUAAAGGAAAAAGAGUAACUAAUCAUCAUAUUCAACAUUUUAAUAAUAAUAAUAGUAAAAGAAAAUUCAGUAUCAGGGAGUAUGAGAAAUAGUUUGUAUACUGACAUCUGUUUCCUUAAAAAGAUGAGAAACAGUAGAUUGGUCACACUAUACUGUUUUGUUUUACUGUUUCUCUUGUGAGAAAUCAGCACUAUAGUGUUUUAUCAGUCUAAAAUACUAAAGAAAAGAAUUUACACUGCUGAACGGAAGCUCAGAUACAGCAGGGAUAACCGCUAGCAAGGAUGUUUGUUUUUUUUAGAGAACAGUUUAUUAACUAUUUAUUAAUAAACAGUUUAUUAACUAUUUUUCAGCCAGUAUACAACAAGCAGACAGGAACGCUUCCCUUCAUAAUUACAGCCACGAAUUACAAACUGUUCAACAAAUGUGAUAAAAUGUUGUGUAAUUUGCAGCUAAACGUUAGAUUUUUAAUAUAAUAUUUAAGAGAUUUAACACAAAAUUACCCAGUAAAGUAAAUGUUGCCAAACAGCGUAAUAUUUAACCCAAAGUACCAUCUUGAACCAGAAAGUUAUGGACAAUCUGAUGUCCACCAUUCAGCUUAGAAAAAUAUUUGAAACAGACUGAAUCAAAGCUAUGCUGCCAAACAUAGUUUGACAUUUAGUAGAAAGCCAGGUUUGCAGUAGCUGGGACAAAAAGUCUAAUGAAUGUCAUAGUCAAGUGCCAUCGGUGUGUGUUGCCCUUUAAGAAAACAUUAGGUUUCCUUCAAGUCUGUCUUAAUAUACUAGUCCCAAUCACAUUCCAUAUGCACAUUAAGAGAAGCUUUAGUAACAUAUUUUCCUUUGAAACCUGCACAGGAAUCAGGUGUUUCUUGGUUUCUGUUGUAGCUUUUUUUUUUUUUUUUUUUUUUUUUUUUUUUAAAACCAAAAAAGUUCCCAAACAAAUUUAAUAAUCUGGAAAUGCUACAAGCUACCUAUUUCAUUGGGCAUUUAUUGUUUACAAAUGCAAAUACAGUUUAAACAGCUAAAUCAUAGAUGGUUAAUAGUUUUGAGAUUUGUAUUCUGUAUUUGAUUUCUUGAUCCUUAAAAAAUUAUCCAGAAAGGACAGACUGAGCUUAAGCUAUAUGCGUAUAUCACCAUAUGUUGAUGAUGUGAUUCUGUUUUAUUACCAAAUUACACAAAUCACUUCAAACCCACCCUAAAGGUCCAGCUAAGUGACUUCAAAAUAACUAAGGUGAAACCUUGCAGACAGCUACACUAUAGUCACCUGUCACUCAACAAGGCCCCACCCCUAAUAACGCAAACAUUAAGCCUUAAUGCAGUUUAAACAUGUGAGUUAUGAACUAAAUUCAGCCCCAUACAGUUGUUACAAAGGGGGAAACUAGACCAAAACUGUUUUCUGUAGCAGGCUGAAGUUGGACAUUUUAACAUGGGAGACUAAGUAUAGGGACUCAUUUUUGCAGCAUCAAGUGGACAUUAGAGGAACUGAAAGUUUUGUUAGUGUUAUUAUAAUUCUGCUAACAGAAACCAGAAAGCUGUUGCCAACAGGUUGUACAUUUUUAGAUCAGUUUAAAGAAGUUAUAUUAAGAUAGACUUGAAAGAACUCAAACUUUUCCUUUAACACCAGUUAAAUCAUUCAUAGUUUGCUUCAUAGCUCACUAUCC
ensembl:lncRNA